GCCCGCUUGGCUCACCGGUAGAGCAUCUCACUAGUAAUGAGGGGGUAAUUGGUUCGACUCCAAUAGUGGGCA